UACGUAGGGUGCGAGCGUUGUCCGGAAUUACUGGGCGUAAAGAGCUCGUAGGUGGUUUGUCGCGUUGUCCGUGAAAACUCACAACUCAAUUGUGGGCGUGCGGGCGAUACGGGGCAGACUGGAGUACUGCAGGGGAGACUGGAAUUCCUGGUGUAGCGGUGGAAAUGCGCAGAUAUCAGGAGGAACACCAAUGGCGAAGGCAGCUCGCUGGGACGGUACUGACGCUGGAGGCGCGAAAGCGUGGGAGCAAACAG
rnacentral:rRNA from 1 species